rnacentral:rRNA from 3 species
UGCAGAAUCCCGUGAACCAUCGAGUCUUUGAACGCAAGUUGCGCCCGAAGCCAUUAGGCCAAGGGCACGUCUGCCUGGGUGUC